rnacentral:rRNA from 1 species
AUUGAACGCUAGCGGGAUGCCUUACACAUGCAAGUCGAACGGAGUGGCGAACGGGUGAGUAAUGUAUCGGAACGUGCCCAGUAGCGGGGGAUAACUACGCGAAAGCGUAGCUAAUACCGCAUACUAUUGGAGCGGCCGAUAUCGGAUUAGCUAGUGGGGGGGGUAACGGCAAACCAAGGCGACGAUCCGUAGCUGGUUUGAGAGGCAGACCAGCAACACGGGGACGGAGACACGGCCCAGACUCCUACGGGGGGAAGCAGUGGGGAAUUUUGGACAAUGGGGGAAACCCUGAGGCACCCAGCCCGCGUGUGCGAUGAAGGCCUUCGGGUGGUAAAGCACUUUUGGCAGGACAGCGGUACCUGAAGAAUAAGCACCGGCUAACUACGUGCCAGCAGCCGCGGUAAUUC